AUCAAAAUCGUCGUUAGACGUGACUCGAAAUUAAAAAACAGUUUCAAUUCGGAACUUCGACUCGUCGAUAGUUUCGCGGUGCGACCAGUUUGAAAAUUAAGUUGUGAAGGAAAAAUGAAUGUUUGACAUUCGCCAAGGGGGCGGUACGGAUCGGAUCGGAUCCGAAACCCAUUAAUAAUUUUCCUUUCUCAUUUUUGCCUUAGAGGCGAUAGAUCGUGGUUGAUUGCACCUUGAGUAUUAUAUUUCUUUUUCAAUAGUGAAGUUUUCUUCUUUCUCGUUCGUGAUUUUUUUCCGCAAAAAAUUUUUCACGUAAAUCUGUGUGUUCUUUUUUAUUUCUGCUUGUGGUUUGUUUAUUUUGUGUUCGCCAUUUUCAUUUCUGUUUGUGCGUUUGUCGUAACAGUCGCAAGCACUAUUAAAUCAUCAAAAAAAAGAAAGAAAAAGA
rnacentral:lncRNA from 1 species